GCCCCGCCCCACUGGCGACGCUGUCGGAGCCAUUUCGCCGCCGCCUCCGAGCGAGCUGCGGUGUUUGCCCCGGGUCUCUCUGAGGAAGGCCGCGGUCGCGGACGGUCUUAAGAGGGCUGUGUUUUCUGGCACCAGGAAGAGAACGCGGUCUGAAGAAGACUCUUGAAUCAUGGGUGAUGUUAAGAAUUUUCUGUAUGCCUGGUGUGGCAAAAGGAAGAUGACCCCAUCCUAUGAAAUUAGAGCAGUGGGGAACAAAAACAGGCAAAAAUUCAUGUGUGAGGUUCGGGUGGAAGGUUAUAAUUACACUGGCAUGGGCAAUUCCACCAAUAAAAAAGAUGCACAAAGCAAUGCUGCCAGAGAUUUUGUUAACUAUUUGGUUCGGAUAAAUGAAGUAAAGAGUGAAGAAGUCCCAGCUGUUGGGGUAAGUACUCAUGGCCCAGCACUUGAAAUGUAUGUUACAAGGUCAUGCCUUGUAUAUAUUGCACGACUAGAUAAUUGCCAAAUUUUUUAUUACUUGCCAUAUGGAGACAUGGGAUGAUGAUUUUUCAAUGUUGUUUUCAAAUGUAUUAACGUGUUCCUUAGCGAACCUCAGAAUCUUGUUCUCUUAGAGCGCUUUCCUAAGAUUGGGAUUUCAUUCUCAUUAUGUACCUGACUUGUGAGUUUGAAAAAUUCCUUUAAUCUUUGUAUUUGUGGUUUUAUAUAUUUCAUUCAUUCAUAAACUAAUUUUCAGAGCCUGUUGUGCUUUGUAUACUUCUAAAGAUAACAUUUCAAACAGAAUGUAAAAAUCAGUAACACUUUAAGACACAGUGUUUACUCCCAGUGGCAGUUCCUUAUUACAGCAGAGAGAAAAUUUUGUUUCAUGCAAUGGCAUAAUCAUUCAUAAUCAUUUUGAUACCAUGAUAAUUUAAAUUAUAUUAUGUAAAUAUGCAACAUAGACUUCUGUCUAGUACUGAUUUUAAGAAAUAAACUUUAUCUAAUUAAAAAAUGAAAAUUUGAAUUUUUAUAUGAUCUUAAAUUUUAAAUCUAUAUGAUCUUAAAUCUUACAUGAUUUAAGAUAAAUACCUAAGGUAAUUUAAAUGAAAUACUCAGUUUUUAUAAAACUUACAGGAAUAAUAUCUAUAUCAAUUUCAACAACUUAUUGUCACUGUGUUUAUAUUUUGUGUUGUUGUAAAGGUUAAUAUAUAUGUUUUAUUCCCUUUCAUUGUUUUGACCCAGAAGUUAGGAGACUUACUUUCUAGUAUAUUGUACCACUAGAUAAUUGCAGAAUUUUUUAUUACAUUGGUUGGUCAAUCUGCAAAAUGAAGGGAUUAGAGGAGAUUAUCUUGAAGAUUCUUUCCACCUAUGAAAAGAAUGUUACAAAUAUCUUAUAAUUUGAAACACUGGCAUCUGCUCUAUCUGUUAUGACCUAUUCUGUAUCUUUUAACCUCUUCCUCUCUCUCAAAGUGUAAGUCUGCUU